GGCGAAGCGAAAUGACGACUUCAGCAGAAGUCUGCAGCGCUGAAUAUCCAUACCGCAUUAGCCUAGAUAAAAUAUCACAAUGGAGGGAAAAAGGGAGCGGGAUGUGUUUUUCUAAUGAGUUUGUUUGUUUCAAGUGUUCGCACAAUAAGAAGGAGUUAAUUCUACAUACAGGGAGAAUAAACGCACCUGCUGUUGUCUGUGUGGCGUGUGUGGAAUUGGGAAUGUUGGAGGAGACGAGGCCGAUAGUGUGGACGGAGGAGAACGCUGCACCAAAAAACAAGGUGUGUGGAUUUUUUGGAGGCCAGAGGAGUAACAGGAGGAGACCCGUUUGUUUUGUGCAGUGAUGGUUACAUGCUGAAUGUUGACCUUAUCGAUUCUUAUAUUUUAUUGCACAUGUGUAAAAGCAACGUAACAUCAAUGCUCUGAGAGGGAAAGUCAGCACUAACUCACAUCGAACUUUACUGAUAAAAAAAUGAGCAGGAGGAGCAAAAAGGGGGAAAGCGUAAGAGCUUGUCAAGUGAGAGGUAGGGGAGAAUUCAACAACAAAAGAUGUAACUUCUGACAAACACAAGAGUGUAAACAGAGAGAAGAACGGAGCGAAAAACGUGAUACAAGGGCGAAUAAAUAUGAUAACGUAUGGUUCAUGGUCAGAAUUAGACGCAAUGACUCUGCAUUACUUUUUUGACUCAGCAGAAACUGGAUGAUGACUUGUUUUUGAAGCUAGUGCAGUUUCUACUAUGACUUGGUAGACUGUUCCAGCAGUGAGUUUUUCUGAAUCUGGUGGAAAACUGAGAAAAAGUCUUCCUGAAAAAAAAAGCCUUGGAUGAAGUUUUUUGGCUGAUCUUGUCCAAUAAGGAUGAACUAGAGUACAUUUUGAAAGAAUCAUGAGUAAGCGGUGAGUAAAUUCAAUGACAAAAAGAAAAAAAAUGCAAACGGUGCGGAUGAAAGCUGGGGAUGAUUUGUAACUGGAAUAAGAACUACGGCACUUAAUAAUGAACACUUUCUGCAGGGAGACAUACCAAAGAGGUGAUCUUUGCAGGUGCUAGUCUAAACAAUAUUACAGUCAGGGAUAGUGUAAUAGAUCAUCGUAUCAGACAGAUUUAAGCUGUAAAUAAGUAACAGAUGCCUUAAACUUCGGAUGACUCCUUUAUCCCUUACCGUUUUACUAACACUUUUGCAAUUUUUACAGGUGAACUUCUCAUCAGUGAGAACUCUGAGAAAUGCUGAAACACUUUUUAUAUUAUUAGUUAUCUGUAUUUUAGGAUGGUAAUUUUUUGCUCAAUGGCCUCUAUAGGUGUAAAUAUCAUUAUGCACUUUUAUUUAAAUAAUAUUUUGUUUUCUUUAAACCAAGUUUAUAUUGUGGCCUGGUCUAUAGGCGAUAACUUAGUUAUUAGUCAUUACUAAUUAAUUAAUCUUUGAUUAAUUGUUUAAAAAUGAUUUUUGUUCUUACUUUUUAUUUUUUGUAGCUUUAUAUGAUUAAAAAAAUUCUUAACAAAGUAACCAAGAGUUUCACAAAAAACCUGCAUCAAACAAAACAUUCAGAUGGACAAUAAUUAUAUGGGUAUAAAAGUCUGUCCAAAAGCAAAGAAAGUUUUAAGAACUGGUGUGAAAGUGGAGUCAGACUUUCUUUAUUUUUAUUGCACAAGGACAACAAAACUGAGGUCAAAGCUCCUCAAAGCUCUUCUUUUAAAUGAUCAAGAGUCAAAAUCUCAGAGAUCUCAGAGAAAACUGUAUUCACAGAGCACUAAGAGGAGUAGCUUUAUUUUUAAAUGCAAAAAGCAGUGAGCAUAGAAAGUUUGGUAUCUCUGUUUAGGAGGUGACAUAAAAAGUCUUUAUUUCACCAGAGAUAAAUCUGUAAUGAGAUUAAAAACUGUCUUUUAGGGGCCUUAACUUGAGUGCAGAGAGCAUACUGUUGCAGAAAAGUCACACAUAACCAAAACUAACACAGUUUUCAACCAAUAUAAUCAAGUGGAUGCAGUUUGCAAGGAUGCAAUACAAGUGGUUGGAUGUGUUGGAUUCUUACCAACGGGUUAGAAAAAAAAAUUAAAUACAAGCAAUCAGCAAGACCAAAAACACUUUCUCUUUAUUCUUUAAACGACUUAAAUCCCUGAAAAUAAUCAGUGUAUCUCCAAUUAACCGAGGAUUUGAAAAAACAGUUCUUGAUACACUGUUUGAUUAUCAAAUCAAUAGUUCCACCCACACAGUCAGGUCUUUCUAAAUGCAUACAUGCAACUCACUUCCUUCUGAAUCCUUCGACCUUAAUUGUGCAGCAUGUCCAAUGUAAUUGAAUUGUUCUGCAGGCAGAGCUGCAGCAUUAUGCAUUAUAGUUAUUACUGCACUGUUUUCUAUGCAUGUAAAACCAAUUACAACACAUGUAAUUAGGCCGUGUGUCUAUUAAUAACUCCUAACAAAUACUGGUGUUAGAUAUAAGCAGUCGCUUUUAAUAAGAAGUAGAAAUGUCACAAUUAAAGCUCUCCUGCUUCUCCUCCAGGCCCUGUGAACCUUUCAUGAGCAGGACACAUCGUCCUCUACUGGCCGCAGAGAGAAUUACAGCUGACCCUGCCUCCUGCAGACGACCUGGCAGGGAACAAAGAGGCAGCGCUGUGCCAAAGAGGCCUAUCGCGCUCUGCUCCAGAGGGGAGGAAGAGAGGGGAAGGUUUCCAGUGAGGGGGAGGACAGGGUGAAGGGGAGGAUCCAGCAUGCUGGGGCAUUGCAGCGGUCGACUCCGAGCUGAACGGGGGCAAAGUGUUUCAGCGUGUGGAGUGAGUACGAUAGGGAAGGAUGGUGCUAGAAGUUGGUACUGAGGGGUGGGCUGGUAAGACAUCUGUCAUCCUGCCAUCAGUGCUGUCACAUCAGAGGACAAAUGGGCUGCUGGGUUUUUACAGCCCAAAAGCACGGGAUGGCAAAAGGUAUCAGUUAGCAUGUGAUCUCUUCCUGCUCUUUUGUGCCGUUUUCAAUAAGCGUCGGCCACUGUGCUCCUCCUCAUCAAAGGGCGAGAGAAAAGGCUGAAAAAUGGUUACAAAGUGAGGGCAAACGAAUAUCUGUCAAAUCCGAACGAAAACUCCGGAUCAGCUCAGCAUCAUGGAGCUGUUCUGCAUGCGAGCGUCCUUGGCUGAGGCCCAAAGCCACGUUCAGGGGGUCUGGAAGUCCCGCUUCCGAGCGAGGACGAAGAGUGAGUGAAGGGAGAGUGGCAUAUUUAAUUUCCCCCUCCUCUACCCCAUCACGCCGCCAUCCCCCCUUUUGUUUUUUUGCCGGCGCCGCAGCACCGAGGCAAGGUCUUCCAUAAUGACACCUUGACUGUGAAGAACUUCAUCCACUCCGCCGCGCUAUCUGGCGCCCGCGUGACAAGACGGCUGGCUUUGUUGCCAGGAGAGUGGAAGAGAGCUUUGAACUGCAGACUGACAGCGCAGGGGAAGCCGUUCCAGGCGUAAAUGUAAAUUACUAUUACUUACACGUUUAACCCAGCACCUACAAAACCCCCAACACACACACACACACACACACACACACACCUCACCCCAUCCUCUUCCCAGUUCACUGACUUGCACUGGGCUAGGGAAGGAGGCAGUGGUAG
rnacentral:lncRNA from 1 species